rnacentral:rRNA from 1 species
UCUUUUAAUUGAGGGCUUGUAUGAAUGGUUGGACGAAAUAUUAACUGUUUCAAAUAAAAUUUUAUAGAAUUUUAUUUUUUAGUUAAAAAGCUUAAAUUUUAUUAAAAGACGAGAAGACCCUAUAGAUCUUAAUAAUUAAAUUAUUUUAUUUAUAAAGAAUAUUUAAUAUUUAAUAUUUGAAAUUAUUUUAUUGGGGUGAUAAUAAGAUUUACAAAACUCUUAAAAUUUUUAACAUAAAUUAAUGAAUAGUUGAUCCAUUUUUAAUGAUUAAUAAAUUAAGUUACCUUAGGGAUAACAGCGUAAUUUUUUUGGAGAGUUCUUAUCGAUAAAAAAGAUUGC